GCUCCAGCAAGGUAAAAUUUCCCACUGCGAGGCAGGCAGUGAUGCUGCGGCCGCUUCGCACUGUGGCUCCUGCCGACCGCCAGGCGCUGUUACAGUGGAUGCGAACUAACCCAUUAUAUCGUACUGCAGAAACCAGCUCAACUAUGCAAAACUACCACCAGGACUGGCCGACACCAGGAGGGAUUCCAGAGACCACACUGCAGGGAGCAUACAGAAAGAAAAUUAAGAGAUCAGAUGCAGCAGCAGCCGGAACCCACAGUUCACCUUGGUGCAUUCCUUUAUGAUGAAGACUUAUUGAUUCAUUAUAUGAGAAAGGAAAAAUGAGCAGAAACUACUGUAUGAUGUGCAGCUCACACCAGACAGCAACUUUAGAGUAAUUUAUCCCUACUUACAGAGAGAUUGCCCUACGUGUAACAGCUGCAUACAAAAAAGUUAUAAAAUUAUCAUUGGUUUAACAAGGAUAAGUGAAAAACAUUAAAAUUCUCCAACUGAACAAGGUGUGUCUGUUUCAUUGAUUGGCUGACUGUCAAAUCGGAAUCUGAUCUGCCCCAUUGACAAUGCCUUGGGCUUUUCCUCGGCCAUGGCAAAUGCCAGAGUCUUCUCAGCUGCCGCUUCACAAAAGAGGUACCAGCUUCUCACUGAACGAACACAGUGCAGCACCAGGAGUGACAGAAGAAGGAGGCGGCAGCGGUGGUUGAGGGACAGGGUGCGUGCACGUCCAAGUACAGUUCUUAAAAUGUUGAGGGCAUACAACAUAUGCUCAAUAAAUACCUGAUUUUUAAAAAAGA
ensembl:lncRNA novel transcript